ensembl:lncRNA
GUCCUGGCUAAGGAUUGUGAUAUCCUCUAAGGAGCACAGAUGGACAAGGCCAGGGGCAAGGAGAGAGAGAUAAGCUGCUGCUAAUGGCUGGGAAACGGUCUUUUUGUGUGGACUUAUCUCGAGGAAGAUGGCCAUCUCAGGAGGUAUGCACAGGACUCUUGCUCAAGCCCCCAGGAAUGUCACGUAGGCAGGAGAAAAUGGAGGAUAAAAGAGGGUCCAACAACCACGGCAACAGUAGAGGCUUAUCUCUCACCACGACAGACUUGAGGGACCAUCGGAACGUCGUGCAACGGGACUGCUGCUGGAUCCUGGUGGUGACUAUCCCCGCUUUACGCAAUUCUUGCCUCUUUCUAUCUUUUCUAUCGCUCGCCUUCCCUUCCCCAUCACCCCAAUCCUUAAUAGUGUCCGUCCUCCCCUUUCCCCAUCUCCCUUAUUAACAUUUGUAAUAAACUGGUCGGACCACCAUUUGAACCAUUGUUUCUUAAUCUCACGCCGGGCAUACAUAUUUCAAAGAACCUCCUCUCCCUCCUAUCAAUUGGAGUGAGACAAAGACCCACAGGAUCAUCCAGUCCAACCAUUCACCCUUCACCAAUGGUUCCCGCUAAAGCAUGUCCCUCAACACAACAUCCAAACGCUCUUUGAACACCACCAGGCUCAGUGACUCUACCACCUCUCUGGGCAGCCCAUUCCAGUGCCUGACCACCCUUUCAGAGAAGUAGUAUUUCCUAACGUCCAGCCUGAAUCGUCCCUGGCGCAGCUUGAAGCCAUUCCCUCUAGUCCUAUCACUAGUCACACGAGAGAAGAGGCUGACCCCCAGCUCACUACAACCUCCCUUCAGGUAGUUAUAGAGAGCAAUAAGGUCUCCCCUGAGCCUCCUCUUCUCCAGACUGAACAAUUCCAGCUCCUUCAGCCGCUCUUCAUAAGGCCUGUGCUCCAGACCCCUCACCAGCUUUGUUGCCCUCCUCUGGACACACU